UCCCUGUUUGUAAACACGGCGCCUCCC
rnacentral:piRNA from 1 species